AGUGAGUUAGGUUAAAGAAACCUUUAGCCUUCAAAGCUGAUAUUGGGAUACACCCACUCAUUA
rnacentral:tRNA from 1 species